rnacentral:rRNA from 1 species
GAUGAACGUUGGCGGCGUGCCUAAUACAUGCAAGUCGAACGGAGACAGUAGCAAUACGGUCUCAGUGGCGAACGGGUGAGUAACGCGUUGGUGACCUGCCCCGAAGUGUGGAAUAACAGAUCGAAAGAGCUGCUAAUACCGCAUAAUAUCCAGAAGACUAGAUGCUUUUGGAUUAAAGGAUUUAUUCGCUUCGGGAGGGGCCUGCGUCCCAUCAGCUAGUUGGUAAGGUAAAGGCUUACCAAGGCUAUGACGGGUAGGGGACCUGAGAGGGUGGCCCCCCACAAUGGAACUGAAACACGGUCCAUACACCUACGGGUGGCAGCAGUAGGGAAGUAUUAGUAAUGGGCGAAAGCCUGAACUAGCAACGCCGCGUGUGCGAAGAAGGCCUCGG